rnacentral:rRNA from 1 species
UACAGAGGUGGCAAGCGUUGUUCGGAAUUACUGGGCGUAAAGGGCGCGUAGGCGGCCAUCUAAGUCAGACGUGAAAUCCCCCGGCUUAACCUGGGAACUGCGUCUGAUACUGGACGGCUUGAGUAUGGGAGAGGGAUGUAGAAUUCCAGGUGUAGCGGUGAAAUGCGUAGAUAUCUGGAGGAAUACCGGUGGCGAAGGCGGCAUCCUGGACCAUUACUGACGCUGAGGCGCGAAAGCUAGGGGAGCGAACGGG